AGGAUGAACGCUAGCUACAGGCUUAACACAUGCAAGUCGAGGGGCAGCAUGAACUUAGCUUGCUAAGUUUGAUGGCGACCGGCGCACGGGUGAGUAACACGUAUCCAACCUGCCGAUGACUCGGGGAUAGCCUUUCGAAAGAAAGAUUAAUACCCGAUGGCAUAGUUCUUCCGCAUGGUAGAACUAUUAAAGAAUUUCGGUCAUCGAUGGGGAUGCGUUCCAUUAGGUUGUUGGCGGGGUAACGGCCCACCAAGCCUUCGAUGGAUAGGGGUUCUGAGAGGAAGGUCCCCCACAUUGGAACUGAGACACGGUCCAAACUCCUACGGGAGGCAGCAGUGAGGAAUAUUGGUCAAUGGACGAGAGUCUGAACCAGCCAAGUAGCGUGAAGGAUGACUGCCCUAUGGGUUGUAAACUUCUUUUAUACGGGAAUAAAGUGAGGCACGUGUGCCUUUUUGUAUGUACCGUAUGAAUAAGGAUCGGCUAACUCCGUGCCAGCAGCCGCGGUAAUACGGAGGAUCCGAGCGUUAUCCG
rnacentral:rRNA from 1 species